rnacentral:rRNA from 1 species
UACGGAGGGGGCUAGCGUUGUUCGGAAUUACUGGGCGUAAAGCGUACGUAGGCGGCUUUGUAAGUUAGAGGUGAAAGCCCGGGGCUCAACUCCGGAAUUGCCUUUAAGACUGCAUCGCUUGAAUCAUGGAGAGGUGAGUGGAAUUCCGAGUGUAGAGGUGAAAUUCGUAGAGAUCCGGAAGAACACCGGUGGCGAAAGCGCUCUGCUAGGACAAUACUGACACUGAGGGACGAAAGCUAGGGGAGCGAAUGGG